UACGUAGGGGCCAAGCGUUGUCCGGAUUUAUUGGGCGUAAAGAGCUCGUAGGCGGUUGGGUAAGUCGGGUGUGAAAACUCCAGGCUCAACUUGGAGAUGCCACCCGAUACUGCUCUGACUUGAGUUCGGUAGGGGAGUGGGGAAUUCCUGGUGUAGCGGUGAAAUGCGCAGAUAUCAGGAAGAACACCCGUGGCGAAAGCGGCUCUCUGGAACGGUACUGACGCUGAGACGCGAAAGCGUGGGGAGCGAACAGG
rnacentral:rRNA from 1 species